rnacentral:rRNA from 1 species
CAAAAGCGUAUAUUAAAGUUGUUGCAGUUAAAAAGCUCGUAGUUGAACCUUGGGCUUGGCUGGCCGGUCCAUCUUUUUUGAUGCGUACUGGACCCAGCCGAGCCUUUCCUUCUGGCUAGCCUUUUGGCGAACCAGGACUUUUACUUUGAAAAAAUUAGAGUGUUCAAAGCAGGCCUUUGCUCGAGUAUAUUAGCAUGGAAUAAUAGAAUAGGACGUUAUGGUUCUAUUUUGUUGGUUUCUAGGACCAUCGUAAUGAUUAAUAGGGACGGUCGGGGGUAUCAGUAUUCAGUUGUCAGAGGUGAAAUUCUUGGAUUUACUGAAGACUAACUACUGCGAAAGCAUUUACCAAGGACGUUUUCAUUAA